rnacentral:rRNA from 1 species
ACUCCUACGGGAGGCAGCAGUGAGGAAUAUUGGGCAAUGGAGGCAACUCUGACCCAGCCAUGCCGCGUGCAGGAAGACGGCCCUAUGGGGUUGUAAACUGCUUUUAUACAGGAAGAAACGCAUCUACGUGUAGGUGUUUGACGGUACUGUAAGAAUAAGGAUCGGCUAACUCCGUGCCAGCAGCCGCGGUAAUACGGAGGAUUCGAGCGUUAUCCGGAAUCAUUGGGUUUAAAGGGUCCGUAGGCGGUCUUAUAAGUCAGUGGUGAAAUCUUCCAGCUCAACUGGGAAACUGCCAUUGAUACUGUAGGACUUGAAUAUUUGUGAAGUAACUAGAAUAUGUAGUGUAGCGGUGAAAUGCUUAGAUAUUACAUGGAAUACCAAUUGCGAAGGCAGGUUACUAACAGAUUAUUGACGCUGAUGGACGAAAGCGU